GAGAAAACUCUAGAAAGGAAAAGAGUACAGCCAGCUCCUUAAAUUAUUUAUAGGUUCAUAGUUCAGUCCACAGUCCACAGUCCAUAUGAGCAUAUUACAAAUAAGAGAACAUAAAUAGGUGGGAAAAGAAAGAGAGAAUAAGUUUAAGGUUGUUUGCUUUUAGAACUCUUUAGUGCUGCUUCCUUUCUCGUAUCUCCUCCUCCUUCAUGUUCCUUUCUUUUGCUCCCUGGUGAUACUCGUUGCUCAUCAUCUAGGUACAUAUCUUCAAAGGUUGCUUCAGGUCUUUGGUUUCCUUCUCCACAGUAUGUUGCUUGUGCUGGUCAGCCAACUUCCAAUCCUUGAUACAUGAGAGCACUUCCACCAUGUCUGUCGUCAACCGUCGUCGCCGCUCCUCGAGCACCCUGCUAGCUAGACUGAAAGUAGAUUCUGAAGAUAUUGUAGAAACAGGGACAACCAUAACAUCUUUAGCUAGUAUAGAAAGAAUAGGGUAAGUUUGAUUGUGGCGUUGCCACCACAUAAGAAUGUUGAAAUCAGGCCCAAAUUUAGUUCCAGUGUCACUAUCAAGGUAAGAAGCUAACUCAGAUAAACCAGUAGAUGUACCAGCUGUACCAGUAUUGCUGUAAUUUUCAUCAUCACCAUAUAUAUCAUCCCAUGCCUCUAUGGCCUUACUAGAACCACUACCUGAUUGUGGUUGAGGAGUCAAGCAAACUCCUCCAAAUUUGGCCUCAUAAAUUUGAUACAUCUUAGCUAACUUGCAUCUAACACAUGAAGGAUAUCUACUAUAGUCAGUCCCAUUAAGAGAAGAUAAUCUUUAAAGAACUUUAUGAAAGCCCCUCAUCUUUGCUCGAGGAUCAAGAAUGAAAGCAAAUGCAUAAAGAAUGGGUAUUUCCCUCCAAUAUUUCAGAAAUUUUGUUUUCAUAGGUACAACAUCAUUUCUUAAAAGUUCAUGAUUCUCAUAUGCAUUUAUAUGUCUAGCAAUUUUCAAAAUAUGAUGCAACAUUAAAGAUGAUGUAGGGUAAUAUAUCCCAGAAAGUGCAACAGUUGAGUCAUAG
rnacentral:lncRNA from 1 species